UACGAAGGGGGCUAGCGUUGCUCGGAAUCACUGGGCGUAAAGGGUGCGUAGGCGGGUCUUGAAGUCAGGGGUGAAAUCCUGGAGCUCAACUCCAGAACUGCCUUUGAUACUGAAGAUCUUGAGUUCGGGAGAGGUGAGUGGAACUGCGAGUGUAGAGGUGAAAUUCGUAGAUAUUCGCAAGAACACCAGUGGCGAAGGCGGCUCACUGGCCCGAUACUGACGCUGAGGCACGAAAGCGUGGGGAGCAAACAGG
rnacentral:rRNA from 1 species